ACAUUUAAAUUUGCAAACUCGAGCUAUAGCAAAAGGCGGUGGUUCAAAAAGUUCUUCUUCAUUUCUGAAGACAGCCACAACAAUUGUUUAUCAUGCAAUUAAUGAAUCUAAGAAGGCUUCUUAUGUUGCACAUAUUAACAGUUAUCUGGAUAAAGAUAAAUUCAUGAAGCAGCUUCUUCUAAUUGAUCCAUGUGCAGAUGUUUUGAGUUCACCUAAAAAGUAUAUUUUGCUGCCACUGCAAAAGGCAUUGCGCCUGUGAUUGAAUUGCACCGCUUUUCCUGUUCCAAAUCAGUGCGAUUGGUAACUUUGGAGCACAACUCUUUCACAAUCAACUUUUAACUUUGUGCAUUACAAACUAUGAGCUUUUAGAGAGUCAAGUUCAACUUAGACUAGAGAUGGGUCUUCCCACUACUGUUGCUUAUUUCACUAUAAAAACAGUUUCCUUAUCCAUCUUUUUAGUUGAUAUGUUGCAUUGUGCUUGAUAUGGCAUAGAAUGGGACCAAAAAGGUAUGUUCAAAUUCAACUUCAUACUACUAUAUAUAAGGGUCAGUAUGGUUCUAUUAUUCUCUGCAUUUGUCUUACUAUUAAAUUGAUGAUUUGGCCUUCACAUUUAGCUUGACUACCACUUUUCUUCAUUUGGUUUUCAAAUUUUACUCAUACUUUAUUUUUAAAUAGUUUUUUCAUUAUAUAUGACUAGUUAAGUGUAUAUAUAAUAAAAUGUUCAUCAUUGUAGCCACAUAUAUUCUACAAUAAGAGUUCUAGUAAUUAACAUUUAGGAAUCUAAUUAAUAAUACAGUUAAAACCUAAUCUAAUUAAGUACUCAGACAAUUCAUUUCUUAUUUCUUUAUAAUGUGUAUGUCUGCUUUUGAAAUCAUUUCCGAAUUUCGUUAUUCUUUCCAUCAAAGGGAAAUAACAUAAAUAAAUAGUAAGAAACCUACAAAUUAUUUUUGCUAACUGAUUAAUAACUAACAAGUAUACUUUAGAUGCAUGUCGUUGACUAUAGUGUGUUUUCUUUCAUAUAAGAUUUUACAACAUAAAGGUAUAUAGUAUAUUAUAAAAAUGUAGGUAUAGAUAUAUAGAAUAUGCAUGAUGUAGAAAAGGAAUAGUAUAUUGAUGAAGAUAUAUACUCACUUGUAAUUAUUAAUUAGAAGGGCAAUGAAAAAAGUGAAUAUAGAAAUUAAUAAAAGAGAAUUGUUGAAGGAUGGUACGUUUGAUUCCCUUAUUUGUAGCCUUAUUUGAUACUUGCUCUGAUUUCAAAAAUAAUUAAGGUUUGCUACUGAAAUCUACUCCCUUUUUACUUGCGUAGUAUGGAGCUAAGAGGAGGGAUUGAUACCUUUCUGAUUUUGAUUAUUCAUUGGAAAUACUUUUAAACUUAGGUGUAUUGUAUUUUUCUAUUUUUCCAUUGCGUGGCAACAUUGGAAAUACUUUUGGAAUUAGUGGAAGAUGAUAAGGUGAUAUUAGCUAAUAAUGUUCCUGCUGUUUAUAAUUUGCAAGUCCCAUGCUAUUACUUCCUUUACAUUUUUGUCAGAACUACAAUUAAAUUAAAUCGUUAUCAUCCAUAUUGUAGAUUACAGAAAGCUUUCAAUGGGAAACAAGAGCAUGGUGUUGCUCCAAAACCCAUGACUUGGAUUCUGCAGCUGAUGCUCUUCUAGCUGGCGAUAAUUCUUCAUAAACAUAUGACAAACGUGUUGAGCCUAUAUAGUGUUUUUGAAGUGAAACUGGAAUUGUUUGUCCAGCAUACAGAGAUCAAAUAGACCUCAUUUAAUGUGCACCAGCUUCUCAUUACCAGCAUUAUGCUAGCGACACAGUUUAUCGAUGACGCAUUCUUCAACAAUGCUUACUACCCUAAAGUUUGAGGAGCGAGUACAUCUGAAUUAAACAUAUUGGAAUUGAGCUUUUUGUUUGGUAUAGAUUUUAGGCUUCAGGUUAGUGUAGACACAUUUGGAAGAUAUUGUUUGCAAUUGGAGAAGGAAGGUUCAGAAGCACUUCAAAAUUAGUUCAGUUGCUUCAAAUUAGUUCGACUGCAACAUUAGUUUACAUGUAGGAAACAUUGGUACAAACAUACUGAGAGGUUAUACAAAGGAAGCUUCAAAGUGAUGACUUUGUUUUUUAAAUCUUCAGCCAUUUCACCUGGUUGAUGUAUUUUGUAUAGAAUUCUGAUAUAAUGUAAUCAUCUGGCACAACUAAUAUAACUAGUUGUCUUCAAGAUAGUGAAUCAAGGUAAUAGAAUGGUUAACUAACCACUCUCUAUAUGGUCGGGUUUUAAGGAAAAGUAUUAUCAACAUCAUAGUUAUG